rnacentral:piRNA from 1 species
UGUCCAUGCUCUGAUUUGAUUUGCCUAUAC